UGGAUCUAUGAAAAAUAUUCUCAUCAAUUUUUGAAUUGAUUUAAGAUUUAUUUGAGAUUUUAGUUCAAUUAGGUUAUUUUUAUUCAUUUUUAAUUGAUAAAAAAUAGUUUCUGACUUUAAAAAAUGCUGAAAUUUUUUGUCAAACUUUGUUUGACCUUGUUGAACUUAGGAUAAAUCACUUGGACCUUUCAAGGUUGAUUUGAAGUGAUUUUGAAGUUUGACCUUUCCAUUUUAUUUUAAUUCAAGUUUAUUUUAAUAUUAAA
rnacentral:lncRNA from 1 species